rnacentral:rRNA from 1 species
CGGUAACGAUGGGAGCUUGCUCCCAGGCGACGAGUGGCGGACGGGUGAGUAAUGCGUAGGAAUCUACCUUGUAGCGGGGGACAACUCGAGGAAACUCGGGCUAAUACCGCAUACGCCCUUCGGGGGAAAGCUGGGGAUCUUCGGACCUGGCACUAUUAGAUGAGCCUACGUCGGAUUAGCUUGUUGGUGGGGUAAAAGCCUACCAAGGCGACGAUCCGUAGCUGGUUUGAGAGGACGAUCAGCCACACUGGGACUGAGACACGGCCCAGACUCCUACGGGAGGCAGCAGUGGGGAAUCUUGGACAAUGGGGGCAACCCUGAUCCAGCAAUGCCGCGUGUGUGAAGAAGGCCUGCGGGUUGUAAAGCACUUUCAGUAGGGAGGAAAAGCUACGGGUUAAUAACCCGGAGUCUUGACGUAACCUACAGAAGAAGCACCGGCUAACUCUGUGCCAGCAGCCGCGGUAAUACAGAGGGUGCGAGCGUUAAUCGGAAUUACUGGGCGUAAAGCGCGCGUAGGCGGCUACGUCAGUCGGAUGUGAAAGCCCCGGGCUUAACCUGGGAAUUGCAUUCGAAACUGCGUGGCUAGAGUCUGAUAGA